AUCGCAAUCACAUUUUGUGAUUGUUUGAUAUCCCUAAUAUAGACUUCAUAAAACUGGAACAUCAUUCCCUGAAAACUGGUUUCUAACAAAUUCCUAGAAACAGAGGGCUAAGAUCAGGGAUAGAGAUGACAAUUUGUUUUUGGUUUAUGGGUAAUAUACUUUCAAAAUCAAAUUAAGAGGCAAGUCUGGCUCAAACACAAAAGCUGAAGUUGUAGGGUUCUGAAUGGAUGAUUUGCUGCCUAGGCUUGACUGACAACCCAAUACACAGGGGAAUAUCCUUCAAUCUGGAUUAGUAAAGGUGUAUCACAGAAAACAAUUUUCAGUUACGAUACUUCAUUCCCUCUGGUAUUGUUGUCUAUCCUGAGCCAGCCAACUAUUAACUGGGUCUGAAACUGUUUUGAAAUUAACAUUUAAUCUAUAAUGUAAUAUUCCACCUGAUUUACAGCACAAAUAAUGCUAAAUCUUAAUCUGUGUUUGUCUUCUGAUUUUUUAGUAGAAAUCCUUUUUACAGCUCAUUUCAUUUGACCAUCUCAUAGAUAUGAGAUAUUUCAUUCAUAUAUAUUUGUGAUAAGUGUUAAUUCAGUACUAAUAACAGUUAUAGUUCUGUUGUUAUAGUGCUUCUUUUAUGACAAUGCAGAUCUCAAUUGACUGUUGUUUUGCCUGUGACUUUCCUUGGGUUUCCUUUAUGUAUGCUGAUUGGGAUUUAGCAUACCAAUUAAUUUCCCCAAAUGUCUGGAAACAUAGAGCUUUUCACUUGACUGAAAUGGCAGCACGCCAGUUGCUCCAACUUAUCGAGAUGUUAUUAAAGAGAGACAGAGGCUCAGAAGGGAAUUCCAGGAGGAUUAUACUGAACAGCAGAACAAGCAUAAAGAAGCAAUUGAAGAAAUAAAACAGCAAAGAAAAAAAACUGACCAGCAGUUUCAAAGACUGAUAGAGAACAAGUCCAUGCACCCCACUGAACUAAGGCUCAGCACAGAUAUAUUAAUGAAUGAAUUGGUAUGUAUUUAAAUGGAUAUAAUACUAAUUACAACCUAUUUUCCUUCUGCAAUAAAAAUGAUUUUCAGAUGAAUUGGGUGUAUAAUCUAGAAUCAAGGUAUUUCAAAAGCAGGAUAUGGAUGGUUAAAUGUACUCUGAGUUGAAUAUGCUUGUAAAGGGAGAAUAAAUAAUAAGCAUCUGCCAAACAUAAUGCCUGAGAUGAGAUAAGAGUGACAUGGAGAAUAAAAGCAAAGAUAAGUCAUUUGGAAAUCAAAAGCCAAGUUCUUUCUUAGAUUUCUGUGCCUGACCUGCAGAUUUGGGAGAUCCCUGCCUGCCAUCCAGUGAUUUUUACGUAUCUGUUUGCAGAUCUUGAUGAAAAUCUGCACAUUUGCUCCAUAUUAGUAGCAUGUAACCCAUUAGCAUACACAGGUAGUCAUACAGGAGGCCUAUAUCAAGCUUAGAACCUUUCUGUGGAGGUUUGCUUUUCUAAUUCUUAUUGGCAGCCCUUAGCACU